CACCUAGUAAUGCAGGGCUGGAUUGGGCUUUCUCUGUUCCAGCAUGGGCUCCUGCAUCUUCUCCUCUGAGUAUCAGCCAAGGUGGAGGGACCAUCCUCAUUGACUUCAUGGGAAUUCUGCCUCCUUUCCUAUGUUAUUGUUCCCCAAAUCCAUUAUCAGAUUUUCUCUACAAUGGCUGAGCAUUGUANNNNNACCCCAAUGGUAGAGGGAGAGUUGGCUCCAAGAGGUGGCAGCCUCUGCAUCCUUAUCUGAACCAGG
rnacentral:lncRNA from 1 species